rnacentral:rRNA from 1 species
GACGAACGCUGGCGGCGUGCCUAAUACAUGCAAGUAGAACGCUGAAGAGAGGAGCUUGCUCUUCUUGGAUGAGUUGCGAACGGGUGAGUAACGCGUAGGUAACCUGCCUGGUAGCGGGGGAUAACUAUUGGAAACGAUAGCUAAUACCGCAUGAUAUUAAUUGUCGCAUGAUAAUUAAUUGAAAGAUGCAAUUGCAUCACUACCAGAUGGACCUGCGUUGUAUUAGCUAGUUGGUGAGGUAACGGCUCACCAAGGCGACGAUACAUAGCCGACCUGAGAGGGUGAUCGGCCACACUGGGACUGAGACACGGCCCAGACUCCUACGGGAGGCAGCAGUAGGGAAUCUUCGGCAAUGGGGGGAAACCCCUGACCGAGCAAACGCCGCGUGAGUGAAAGAAAGGUUUUUCGGAUUCGUAAAAGCUUCUGUUGUAA